rnacentral:rRNA from 1 species
AAGCUGGAUUCGCUAGUAAUCGCGCAUCAGCCACGGCGCGGUGAAUACGUUCCCGGGCCUUGUACACACUGCCCGUCAAGCCAUGGGAGCCGGGGUACCUGAAGUGCGUAACCGCGAGGAUCGCCCUAGGGUAAAACUGGUGACUGGGGCUAAGUCGUAACAAGGUAGC